GCGUGCAGUGAUGACGUGCGGGAGCCAUUUUGGACGUUCAUUUUCUUUUGUAAGGGGCUUCGGAAGGCUGCCUUUAAUCUUUACUUUUGGUCCCGUUGCCAAGAAGAGUUGUUCGAAAGGUCGUUAAUACCUGAGUUCGGAAGAAACAGCUUAUAAUCGAGAAAAUGCCGCCUCUUGAAACGGAUAUAGCAGUGGAAACCGAAGAGAGAGUAAGGUUUGAUCAUCAUAUAAUACAGGAGCUUAAAGAUCUAUGCUCAUUGAUAAAGAGGGUAAUGUCAGAGCGCUUGGAAAGAAUCAAGGAGAGAGCGCUAACAGAAAUGUGCAAGCCUGAUCGGUCACAAAAUCGAAUUACCGAAGUAAAUGCAAAACAAGAGAAACCUGCAGAAAAAAAGGAAAAAUAAAUAAAAGAGAAUGAGAGAAAUCUACAGGAUCGGUCCAGGAGAUACAAUCUACACAUAAUAGGAAUACCUGAAACGGGAAAGCAAAUGAAGCUGAAACAAUAAGGACCUAAUUGAAGAAAA